rnacentral:rRNA from 1 species
CAAUAGCGUAUAUUAAAGUUGUUGCAGUUAAAAAGCUCGUAGUUGGAUUUCUGGUCUGAUGCCCUGGCCCGCGUCUUAUAGAUGUGUGUGCCGGCUGUGCGUCUGCCAUCCUUCUAGUAACCCUUCCUACCCUUCACUGGGCCGGGUUGGCGAUCUAGAUCUUUUACUUUGAAAAAUUAGAGUGUUUAAAGCAGGCUUUUGCUAUGAAUACAUUAGCAUGGAAUAAUAAUCUAGGACUUCGGUUCUAUUUUGUUGGUUUCUAGUACUGAAGUAAUGAUUGAUAGGGAUAGUUGGGGGUGGCUAGUAUUGAGCGGCCAGAGGUGAAAUUCUUGGAUUCGCUCAAGACUAACUUAUGCGAAAGCAUUCACCAAGGAUGUCUUCUUUAAUCAAGAACGAAAGUUGGGGGAUCGAAGACGAUCAGAUACCGU